rnacentral:lncRNA from 1 species
AUGCCAGCUCUCAGGGAGGGCGCUGCGUGCGUCUCGUCCUCCUUUUUUGAGAUGCCAGCUCUCAGGGAGGGCGUUGCGUGCGUCUCGUCCUCCUUUUUUGAGAUGCCAGCUCUCAGGGAGGGCGUUGCGUGCGUCUCGUCCUCCUUUUUUGAGAUGCCAGCUCUCAGGGAGGGCGCUGUGUGUGUCUCGUCCUCCUUUUUUGAGAUGCCAGCUCUCGGGGAGGGCGCUGCAUGCAUCUCGUCCUCCCCUCCCGCCUUUUUGAGAUGCCAGCUCUCAGGGAGGGCGCUGCGUGCGUCUCGUCCUCCUUUUUUGAGAUGCCAGCUCGUCCUCCCCUCCCUCCUUUUUCAUCCGGAUCGGACACAACCUACUUGAAACCUCAGAAAGCCAAACCGGACUGUUGCCUUAACUUCUUUUUUUGUAUCGUGUAGGCGUGCGUGUGUGCGUGUGGUGCCGCUUAGUGCCCUCCCCGUGUCCCGUUUUUAGGGGUCCGUAGCCAGUUUAGGGUCCGCGUUUGGGUGCCCGCCUCCACUGGGGAUGGACUCGACGCUCACGGCUCCUCCUGUUCCGCUGCAGCAUCACACUCUUGGCUCACGUUCCUAUAUUCCUAUGGAUGCAGCCUAGGAUCGCAUUGGCCUUUUCUGCUGCAGCACCACACCCUUGGCUCACAUUCAUGGUCUAUUAAGACUCCUACAUCCCUUUCAGUGGACUAUAUAGUAUAAUCAAUCACUUCCCCAGACAGUGUAUUCCUAUGGAUGCAGCCUAGGAUCGCAUUGGCCUUUUCUGCUGCAGCGUCACCCUCUUGGCAGGGCAGGAGGAGCGGGUUUUCUCCCCGGAAGACGGAGCUGGGCUCAGGCGCAUCAGGUGGCGGGGAGUCUUGCAGCUGAGCUGCGCCUCCCCGAUCUCUUUUUUGGGACGUUUGUUUCCUCCGGACCCGGAAGGAAGAAUUUCUACUGUUUCCAACGGCCCCCACUCCCUUGGUUUUUUAAUAAAAUAUUCACUUUUACAGAAAAACGGGUUCGGAUCGGGAUUGUUUUGUUACAUUUUUGUGCAUUGAUUGCACGACACACCUACACCCCACACAGUUUGUAAACAUAAAGAUAAACAUACAUUUAAUAUAUAUAAUUGAUAUUAGUAUAUUGUAUUAUUACUAUAAUAUUUUAUUAUACUAAUAAUAUAAUAAUAAUAUACUACUACUACUGCUUAUAAUAAUAAUAAUAAUACUAUACUGUAUCAUUAUUCGUAUAAUAUUGUAUUAUACUGUAUGGCAUUAUUUUUAUUAUUACAAGAUACAUUGAUAUUAUUCUUAUUAUUACAAGAAACAUUGAUACUAUUAUUAUAAGAAGCAUUGAUAUUAUUACAAGAAACACUGAUAUUAUUAUAAGAAGCAUUGAUAUUAUUCUUAGAAGAGACAUAGAUAUUAUUAUUAUUACAAGAUACAUUGAUAUUAUUAUUAGAAGAGACAUUGAUAUUAUUAUUAGAAGA